rnacentral:sRNA from 1 species
AAAGAAAAGACUUUCAUUUAUGCGGUAUAGAACUUAUCUAAUCUGCGCGACGUUACCUCUUUCGACUUCUCUACUCUUCGCAGGGUCAGGCAUCGAUUUAGCACUGACUUAGCCACACUGCCGAAUAGUUCGGGCAGAUUUGAGAUAGGAGAAAGACAAUGGCCAACGGCACUGUCAAAUGGUUCAACACCACCAAAGGUUACGGCUUUAUUGCCCCUGAAACCGGCGGCAAGGACGUAUUCGUUCAUAUUUCCGCGGUCGAACGCUCGGGCCUGACCGGCCUGGCGGACAACCAGAAAGUCACAUUCGACAUCGAACCCGGCCGCGAUGGCCGCGAGAGCGCGGUGAAUAUCGCUCUGGCGUGAGCUAAAAGUCAGAUCGCUUUGGAAGGCCCUUCAAAUAUGAGGGGCCUUUUGC